rnacentral:rRNA from 1 species
CCUACGGUGCGCAGCAGUGAGGCAUAUUUGUCAAUGGGCGAGAGCCUGAACCAGCCAAGUCGCGUGAGUGAAGACGGUCCUAUGGAUUGUCAACCUCUUUUGUCGGGGAGCAAAAAGGCCUCGUGAGGCCACAAGUGAGAGUACCCGAAGAAAAAGCAUCGGCUAACUCCGUGCCAGCAGCCGCGGUAAUACGGAGGAUGCGAGCGUUAUCCGGAUUUAUUGGGUUUAAAGGGUGCGUAGGCGGACUGGAAAGUCAGCGGUAAAAUCGAGAGGCUCAACCUCUUUCCGCCGUUGAUACUGUCGGUCUUGAGUGGGCGAGAAGUAUGCGGAAUGCGUGGUGUAGCGGUGAAAUGCAUAGAUAUCACGCAGAACUCCGAUUGCGAAGGCAGCAUACCGGCGCUAAACUGACGCUCAUGCACGAAAGUGUGGGUAUCGAACAGGAUUAGAUACCCCAGUAGUC